CCCUUAGAUGUUCUGGGCUGCACGCGCGCUACACUGAAGCGUUCAACGACUAUUCACCUUGCCCGGGAGGGUUGGGUAAUCUUUUGAAAACGCUUCGUGAUGGGGAUAGAUUAUUGCAAUUAUUAAUCUUCAACGAGGAAUUCCUAGUAAGCGCGAGUCAUCAGCUCGUGCUGAUUACGUCCCUGCCCUUUGUACACACCGCCCGUCGCUCCUACCGAUUGAGUAAUCCGGUGAAUAAUUCGGACUGCAGCACUGCUUGGUCUCCAGGCUUUGCAGCGGAAAGUUUAGUGAACCUUAUCACUUAGAGGAAGGAGAAGUCGUAACA
rnacentral:rRNA from 1 species